rfam:Pediculus humanus corporis strain TSDA 1103172086315, whole genome shotgun sequence.
GCUGCGGUGUCCGAGUGGUUAAGGAGUUGGACUUGAAAUCCAAUGGGCCCAGCCCGCGCAGGUUCGAAUCCUGUCCGCAGCG